UACGUAGGUGGCAAGCGUUGUCCGGAAUUAUUGGGCGUAAAGCGCGCGCAGGCGGUCCUUUAAGUCUGAUGUGAAAGCCCACGGCUCAACCGUGGAGGGUCAUUGGAAACUGGGGGACUUGAGUGCAGGAGAGAAGAGUGGAAUUCCACGUGUAGCGGUGAAAUGCGUAGAGAUGUGGAGGAACACCGGAGGCGAAGGCGGCUUGCUGGACCUGGUCUGACGCUGAGGCGCGAAAGCGUGGGGAGCGAACAGG
rnacentral:rRNA from 1 species